rnacentral:rRNA from 1 species
GAUCCUGGCUCAGGAUGAACGCUGGCGGCGUGCUUAACACAUGCAAGUCGAGCGAAGCACUUAAGUUUGAUUCUUCGGAUGAAGACUUUUGUGACUGAGCGGCGGACGGGUGAGUAACGCGUGGGUAACCUGCCUCAUACAGGGGGAUAACAGUUAGAAAUGGCUGCUAAUACCGCAUAAGACCACAGUACUGCAUGGUACAGUGGUAAAAACUCCGGUGGUAUAGA